rnacentral:ncRNA from 1 species
ACUGCCGCCGGACGGUACGGACCGUGAGGGUUGGGGAACCCGAGGACCGGCUCGUACCGAGAGUCGUCGGGGUUGCAGGGAACCNGCAUUUAGGGACCCCGGAGGAG